CAGUCGCCGCGGUAAUACGUAGGGUGCAAGCGUUAAUCGGAAUUACUGGGCGUAAAGCGUGCGCAGGCGGUUAUAUAAGACAGAUGUGAAAUCCCCUGGCUCAACCUGGGAACUGCAUUUGUGACUGUAUAGCUAGAGUACGGCAGAGGGGGAUGGAAUUCCGCGUGUAGCAGUGAAAUGCGUAGAUAUGCGGAGGAACACCGAUGGCGAAGGCAAUCCCCUGGGCCUGUACUGACGCUCAUGCACGAAAGCGUGGGGAGCAAACAGGAUUAGAUACCCCCGUAGUCCCUGUCUCUUAUAC
rnacentral:rRNA from 1 species